GAGGGUAUAGUGCAGUGGUAGAGUGCCUGCUUAACAGGCACAAGGUCCUGGGUUCAAUCCCCAGUAUCACCA
rnacentral:tRNA from 1 species